rnacentral:rRNA from 1 species
UUGAAAGGGAAACGAUUGAAGUCAGUCGUACCGACGAGAAAUCAACUUAUCGUGUGCGAACUUGUGGGCGUGCGUGAGUCUCGGCCUCGCUGUUUGCAUGUUUGUGCGCUUUGGGUGUACUUUUUCGUAUGGUAGGCCAACGUCAGUUUCGAUUAUCAUAAAAUGACCGGCGGAAUGUAGCUUCGAUUUCGGUUGAAGUGUUAUAGCCUCUGGUAGAUGUGGUGAUUGAGACUGAGGAUUGCAACGAAUAUCCUUCGGGCUAUCCGUCUGGCCUCUGAAAGUUGCUCAGGUGCCGAAAGCGUGCUUACGGUCAUCUAAGAUAACGUUCAACAGGUUAGAACGUGAUUACAUUCGUUAAGGAUGUUGACGUA